GCUCUAUGUGUUUAGUUCUUUCGUGAAAAACGGGAUUUCCAGCAUUAUGGAUUGCUGACUUACUAUCACAAUACAAAGGUGCUGCUUGUGGGUGGCAUACUGUCAAAUCUUUGAGUAAGAAUUGUAACCAUGUUAGCUCACAACAAGUGCUUGCCAUGGCCCUAUAUUCAUCCUCUGCUGAGGAUCUAGAAACUGUUUGCUGUUUCUUUGAUUUCCAGGAGAUUAAGGAAGAUCCUAAGAAAACACAAUAGCCUGUAAUGGAUCUUCUGUGUCAGGACAUGAUCCCCAAUCAGAGUCAAUGUAUGCUUGAAGUUGCAGCAUUGAUGAGGCUGGAUAGAAUAGACCUUGACCUGGACUUCUCUUAAUAUAACGAAGUACAUUGUGUGUUGCAUUAAUAUGUGGAAUUUUGGGUUCAUCCAUGUAUUGGCUUAAGAGUUGGACAGCAUAAGAUAUGUCAGGUCUGGUUACGGUUAAGUAGAGAAGUCUUCCGAUUAGCCUUCUGUUUAUGGAUGGAUUUUUGAGCAAUUCACCUUGGUUUUUGAAUAGCUUCAUAUUCUGGUCCAAAGGAAUUUUUGCUGGCGUGGCUCCAAUUGUGCCUGAAUCUCUCAAUAUGUCUAGGGCAUACUUCCUGUGACGAAGCAUGAUUCCUUCUUUUCUUCUUGCUAUCUCAAUGCCAAGGAAAUACUUCAACGUUCCCAGAUCUUUGAUUUUGAAGUUUUCAUCCAGCAACAAUUUCAGGGAGUUGACUGAUUGCAUAUCAUUGCUGGCCACAAUGAUGUCAUCCACAUAUACUAAAAUGGCAGUGAAUAAGUUCCCUUGAGACUUGGUGAAUAGGCUAUAAUCUGCUUUUGACUGGACAAAUCCAAGACCUAUGAUGAAGGUUGACAAUUUUGAGUACCAUUGCCGUGAGGCCUGUUUUAGGCCAU
rnacentral:lncRNA from 1 species